rnacentral:rRNA from 1 species
CGGGUGAGUAACACGUGGAUAACCUACCUAUAAGACUGGGAUAACUUCGGGAAACCGGAGCUAAUACCGGAUAAUAUAUUGAACCGCAUGGUUCAAUGGUGAAAGACGGUUCUGCUGUCACUUAUAGAUGGAUCCGCGCCGCAUUAGCUAGUUGGUAAGGUAACGGCUUACCAAGGCAACGAUGCGUAGCCGACCUGAGAGGGUGAUCGGCCACACUGGAACUGAGACACGGUCCAGACUCCUACGGGAGGCAGCAGGC